rfam:Parcubacteria bacterium GW2011_GWA2_46_9 TX68_C0008, whole genome shotgun sequence.
GUCCCCAUAGUUCAAAGGAUAGAACGUCUCCCUUCUAAGGAGAAAAUCUAGGUUCGAUUCCUAGUGGGGACA